CUGUUGAAGUUAGUUUAUCUAAAUUUGUGGUGUAUUUGGUAUUUGACCAUUGGAUUUGUUUUGCAAUAAUGAAAACAGGUUUUCCACUCUCUUUACUUCACCAUUACAUGAAUUAUGACAAUGUACAUCUUUAUUUCAUUUCUUCACAGUUUCUUUAUAAGGGAAGAAAGUAAUAACAUAGUAAAGCUGAUUAUAAAGUUUGAGCCAUAGGAAAAAAAUACUUGUAUCUAAAAAGUUAGUUUGAUUCUUCAAGACCCAUAAAUUAUAUGGAUCUGACAAGUCAGCUGUUUUGUACAUUUCUACACCUUUCUCCAGGCUUGCAGAAACUUAUUUACAAAAUAAUGUGAAUUUAAAUUUGUUUAUGUCUCUCACAAAUAUUGGAUCAUAAAGUCCACAUUACUCUGAACUUUGCUGUUCACACUUAAUGAUACAUCAUCUUCAUUUCUCUUUAAAGAUAUAAUCUGCUUUUUAAAAUGUCCAGUAAUAUAAUCUGCUCUUUUAAAUAUCCACUGAAUGUUAAAAAAUAAUGAUGUAUUAUCUUUUAUUCGAAAGAUGUCUGUCAAUCAAUUAGACUGUUUAAGGCUUUUUUUCCCCUUGUCUUCACAGGAGUAUGCCAAGUGGCCUUGUCUUUGUAUCUUACAGAAUAAAUCUAUUUCUAAUGUUCAGAUUGCCAGGAGUAGUAUUCCACCCACUGAAAUAACACCCUAUGACAAGAUGAACACCUGCAUAUUCCAUAGAAGCAUGCCCCAGGACUGUGAACACAGCUGAAAUCAGGAAGAUAAAGAUGAACUGGUGACUGUUGGUGAAGUAAUCAAUUCUACAGGCUUGUCCUGGACAGCUGACAAAAUGAUGAGGCUGGACCAGCUUCAACGGAAACAAGAAGUAUCUUUAACUCCAAGCAAAACAGUUCUUUAUCAUUGCCCCAUCAUGUCUAAGUCCUUUCUCAGGCUGUAGCUUUCACAGGGGACAUCAACCCAAGUCCCUCCAAAAUGUGGAAUGAACAAAAAUGGGAUGUAGGAGAGUGUAACCACUGACCAAAAAAGACUUAUUGUUAUUUUAGUUAUCUUAUGUUAACUUUUUUGUAAUCAUUGGUAUAAAAAUCUUUUUAAAAUUAAAUGAGGGGGAGGACCAUGAAUAACAAUUAUAUUUAAAACCAAGACCUUGGAAAAAAUAGGGAAUGAAAUAUUUUAUUUGAAAUAUGUAUUCCAUGUUUCUCUCAAGUGUUAUUUUCCUCUUUAUCAAAGUAAAAAUUAUAUUAUGUUACACUUUGGCUCAUCACUAAUACAUUUCAUUCUAAGCAGAUAAAGUAACUUUACACAAACCUGGAUCCAGAAAGAAAGAUUUCUACUUGGAGGGCCUAAUGAAUGGUGUAAAAAGAUGUUGGACUAACCUAGAAUAAACUCCAUUCCUUUUUUAUAAAGAAAAUAAGUCAUUGGAAAAUUCAUCCAGUCUAAGAAGGAAAUUAAUGCUUCUCUAUUUCCUUUCACUUUUCAUUUAUUUAUAAUUUAAUUAAAUAAUCAAGAUGCUAUUUACUGAGGGAUAAGUAUGUUCUAGAAACUCUGAUGGAUGCUUUAGAUACACAGGGAAAAAAUUGGUCUCUCACCCAAGUAUGUACAAAAUUUAAUAGGG
ensembl:lincRNA